rnacentral:rRNA from 1 species
UACAGAGGUCUCAAGCGUUGUUCGGAUUCAUUGGGCGUAAAGGGUGCGUAGGUGGCGUGGUAAGUCGGGUGUGAAAUUUCGGAGCUUAACUCCGAAACUGCAUUCGAUACUGCUGUGCUUGAGGACUGGAGAGGAGACUGGAAUUUACGGUGUAGCAGUGAAAUGCGUAGAGAUCGUAAGGAAGACCAGUGGCGAAGGCGGGUCUCUGGACAGUUCCUGACACUGAGGCUCGAAAGCGUGGGUAGCAAACAGG